rnacentral:rRNA from 1 species
GAUGAACGCUGGCGGCGUGCUUAACACAUGCAAGUCGAACGAUGAUGCCCAGCUUGCUGGGUGGAUUAGUGGCGAACGGGUGAGUAACACGUGAGUAACCUGCCCUUGACUCUGGGAUAAGCCUGGGAAACUGGGUCUAAUACCGGAUACGACCAUCUGGCGCAUGUCAUGGUGGUGGAAAGCUUUGGUGGUUUUGGAUGGACUCGCGGCCUAUCGGCUUGUUGGUGGGGUAAUGGCCUACCAAGGCGACGACGGGUAGCCGGCCUGAGAGGGUGACCGGCCACACUGGGACUGAGACACGGCCCAGACUCCUACGGGAGGCAGCAGUGGGGAAUAUGGCACAAGGGGCGCAAGCCGGAUGCAGCGACGCCGGGUGAGGGAUGACGGCCUUCGGGUGGUAAACCUCUUUCAGUAGGGAAGAAGCGAAAGUGACGGUACCUGCAGAAGAAGCGCCGGCUAACUACGU